CAGAUAAUCAUGCAUCCUCCAAUAUAAAAUUACUCCUACAGAGACUAGAAAUCGCACAAGGAAACCAUAACAUCUUUGCAACCCUGCAUACUAGCAUAUGUUAAAACCAAAAGUAUGGUACAUUAAUUAUCGAAAAGCAAACAGCCUAAGGUAAGACAUCACUAGAUUGCUUAAUUUCCUAUCCGACUGCUCAUUAAAUCAAAUUACAACCAUGUAGAAGAACUCAUGGUAUUGCAACAUAUUCUGGCCGUUGAGGGGAACAUACAAACUACAUCCAGCAAAAAAUUGACGCAGAGAACUGUUAUUUCAAUAGUAACUGCCGUAAUAUGCUGUAGGAGGAACAGUUGUAGCUUGUGGUGCUGGAGUCAAAGCGGCAGUGGCAGCGCCUGCAGCCGCGCCCGCUGUCUGUGCAUAAUUCUGCUGAGGGAAGGCCUGGGCUGGGAAUGUUGAAGGAUAAGCACCAUAACCACCACUGGAGGGCACUGAUGCUGCAGGCGCUUGAGGAGGUGCAUAGCCAGUUCCAUAACUGCCGUAAGCACCAUAUGCCGCCUGUUGUGCAUAACCAGGAUUCCACUGCUGCGAUUGGGCUUGUGCAGCCUGUGGCCAGGUUUGACCUUGUGCACCAUAACCUGCAGGCCAUUGAUUCUGUGCUCCAGGAUAUGCACCAACCGCUGAAGGGUUGGUUGCUGCAACAGCAGACUUUGCCAACUUUGUUUUCUCAGAAACUAUAUAAUCUUCAGCAUGACGUUUCUUUGAAUCUGAAGAAGUUCUAUGGCGUAA
rnacentral:misc_RNA from 1 species